CUACGAGGUGCAGCGUAAGUCGAAUACUAGGGGCGUAAAGGCGCACGCAGGCGGUCUGUCAAGUCGGAUGUGAAAUCCCCGGGCUCAACCUGGGAACUGCAUCCGAAACUGGCAGGCUAGAGUCUUGUAGAGGGGGGUAGAAUUCCAGGUGUAGCGGUGAAAUGCGUAGAGAUCUGGAGGAAUACCGGUGGCGAAGGCGGCCCCCUGGACAAAGACUGACGCUCAGGUGCGAAAGCGUGGGGAGCAAACAGGAUUAGAUACCCCCGUAGU
rnacentral:rRNA from 1 species